UACGAAGGGGGCUAGCGUUGCUCGGAAUCACUGGGCGUAAAGGGUGCGUAGGCGGGUCUUUAAGUCAGAUGUGAAAGCCCCGGGCUCAACCUGGGAAUUGCAUUUGAGACUGAAUAGCUAGGGUGCGGUAGAGGGAAGCGGAAUUUCCGGUGUAGCGGUGAAAUGCGUAGAUAUCGGAAGGAACAUCAGUGGCGAAAGCGGCUUCCUGGACCAGCACCGACGUUCAGGCACGAAAGCGUGGGGAGCAAACAGG
rnacentral:rRNA from 1 species